UCCAGACUCCUACGGGAGGCAGCAGUGGGGAAUAUUGCACAAUGGGGGGAACCCUGAUGCAGCGACGCCGCGUGGGUGAAGAAGUCAUUCGUGACGUAAAGCCCUAUCAGCAGGGAAGAAAAUGACGGUACCUGACUAAGAAGCCCCGGCUAACUCCGUGCCAGCAGCCGCGGUAAUACGGAGGAUGCGAGCGUUAUCCGGAUUUAUUGGGUUUAAAGGGUGCGUAGGCGGACGCUUAAGUCAGCGGUAAAAUGGCGGGGCUCAACCUCGUCGAGCCGUUGAAACUGGGUGCCUUGAGUGGGCGAGAAGUACGCGGAAUGCGUGGUGUAGCGGUGAAAUGCAUAGAUAUCACGCAGAACUCCGAUUGCGAAGGCAGCGCACCGGCGCCCUACUGACGCUCAGGCACGAAAGCGUGGGUAUCGAACAGGAUUAGAUACCCCGGUAC
rnacentral:rRNA from 1 species